rnacentral:lncRNA from 1 species
UUUUUUUUUUUUUAGACUAUGUACUUAGGCCAGGACUAAGAAAUCCAGUAACAGAAUUUUUAGUGGUUCUUAACAAAUAGGACUGCUUGAAAAAUCUGUAUGUUUUCAGUGAAAAACUCAGGUGUUUUUUUUUUUUUUUGAAAAUGAAAAAGUCUUCUGGCUGAAAGCUUAAGUGUUUUUCAGUAUUAGUCAUAGCAUUCAUUUUUCAGUAAAUCUCAAGCACUAUGGAAAUAGUCUGGACUGUGGGAAAGGGGGAAGAUGUUAUUUCUCUAAAGAAACAACGUAAACCUUCACCUGGAUUGUUUUGGGUUGCCUGUACAAGAAACAGAACCCCAACUUUGGUGAGUGGUUCCACCACCUCACGCUGAUGAUGCAGAAGCCCAUGUAGCCAGUCAAAACUGCUCAGUUGUUUGCCAUGGCAGAGGAGACAAAUAGGUCCCAAGUAAGUGAGGAUGAAACAGCAUCUCCUGAGAAAAUUGCUGGCUUAGUGAGUACAGAUACCAUUUUUUCACCCUAAAAAUUCUAGCUUAAAAAAAAAAAAAAAAAAAAAAGUGGUUUUGUUUGGCAUAAGACAUCAUGGUUCUGGAUAGGUCUUGUUCUGCAUUUGCCAGAGGCAGAGUUCAGUGCAGCGACUAUUUUAUGAAAUGAGCAUUGUUUAGUGUGCAAAGUGUGAAAUAUGACUGGACAGUGGGAAAGCUUUUUACCCGGGGUGAAUGUUAGCAAUGCCUAGUGUUUUGUGUUCUUGCUAAAUAUUGUCUCCCAUGCAAAUUAUAAUGUUAUACCUACCCAAACAUGCUCGGAAGUCAGAAUAGGAUAGUCUGUAUCAAAGUGAAAAUAGUUUUCACUGUUCAACAUCCUAUCACUAACCAUGCUUGCAGAACACUUAGACAUUAAUGCUUUUUUAGAACAUUCUGAAAGGGGGUUGCUGAGAUUAGUUGUGUGAUAAAUGGCCGGAAAGCAUUCCAAAACAUGUGAUUGCAAACUGAUCCUUAUUGUGCAACAAUGAAAGUCUGAGCUUGAUGGUAAUCAUCUAAAUAGUGAAACGCCUCCAGAUGCAUAAUGGGAGCUGCAGCCAACCCAAAGUGGGACACAGCAGAGCAAGUAACUGCACUGAGGUAUAUUGCUGUAGUGCUCCUGGUCCUGUGCAGCAGCUGCAUUUGAGUAGAGAAUGUUGAGACACUGUAGUUAAAGACAGAUGUUGUCAUUGAGAGUGAGAUGUUGGUGCACAGAUAAACCAAAAGCCCUGACUACCUUCUAGCAGUUCAGAAACAAGUUGGGCAGUCUGAACACGCACCUCAUGGCCAAAGCCUUUAUUUCUUUGGAAGACUGGGAUACAAAUGUCAAACUUGCCUGCACGUUAAAAUUGUCAUCCCUUUUUUCUGCAGCCAAACUUAAAGCAGUGGUGUUAGGAGAAGCAGAUGCUUCUGCCUCUGCCUGAUCCUGGGGCCAGUAAAGUUAUGGGAAGGAUAAUUGCAGUUUCUAAGGCUUGUUGUUUUUCAAAUUCCACUGCUUCUUCGGCAUCUAAACACCUACCAGCCUGAGACGUUACAGCCAUCUGAUGUGAAAUGUGUAUCAGUGAGUUUUGUUGGGUGAGUGGAAGAAGAUGGAUGCCUUCCAUUCCAGGAUGCAAGGGAUAGGAGUGCCACAUUCUUGCUUCAUCUCACUGCUCUGGCAGUCAGCUCAGUAACAACCAAGUGCUCAGUAUGACAAUAACGAUAACAAGCCGCUGCUUACCUCUCAUAUUAGUAUGGGGAAGGGAGGAAAACACUCCAUUGUCCUCCACAGCUUAGAUUAUCUUUGGGUAUACUUUUGUAACUUCUUUAUCACACCCUGUUCUGAUGUAAGAUCUGUCCUUAACACAUCAUUUUUCAGUAAAUGGGCUAUCUUAGGCCCCUUCAAAAUAUAAAUAUUAUUAAAAAUAAACCUCAAUUUGCCUGAGACUGUUUCUGUUUGGGAUGAGAACAAGUAUAGCAGCACUCAAUUCUUCUUGGAUCUUCAUACAUUUCCAUGGCACCCAAGCUCCAGGUGAGAACGUCUCUAACUUAAGCAGCAUGAAAUUGAUACUGGCAAUUGUGCUCACCCUUAAUGUGUCCUACAGGUGCCAUGGGCACUGACUGUCCAACAUACGCUUUUGAACUUCUUCCUUACUUUGAGAUUUGCCCUGGUCUCUUUCUUACUAACUUAAAAAAGAUAUUGAUGAAAAUGCAAUAUUUACAAUGUGCAGCAUCACCUCUCAUUCUUGCUUUAGAGAUUACUAUUAAUGUUCAGUAUUUCUCAGCGUGAGAAAGUAUUUGCUUUAAAUCAAACACUGUUAUCAAUGCACUAUAAUUUUCCAUUGCUCUUCUACAGUCUAAAUUGUCACAUCAGGUACAAUAUAAAAUAAGAGAACUUUCAGUGAGGGACCGGUUGCCAUAUGGCUGACACCUAAAAUCUCAGCAAUUUGGCAAGAAGAAAGUGGAAAAAGAUGAAGUAAAUUCCACAAAAUUAAUGCCAUAAGUAGGUGGCAGCUGUUAGUAAAGGAGAAAGAACAAAGAUAAAGUAAAAGAAAAGAAUAAUGAAUACCAAUGUUGCCAAAUAUUUUUCUCACAGAUGCGUGAAAAUAGAUUUCAAUGUAACUGUCCACACAGUAGACCAGUUUUCCAGGUUUCUUUUUAAAGAUCUAUUUUAAGCACAAAGUAUUUUUCCCCAUUUGAUUUAGAUAUAUAAGCUGAAAUGUGUCUUGGUUCUGAAGAGGAACAAACUUACUGCUUUCAUUGAGUGCUGCUUCCUCUCUUCCAGCCCAAAAAUAUGCUGUAGUCUUAAAUUUGUCACUUUAAUCCCACAAAUCACACCCACCUCAAAAGCACUUGGCACUGGCAUUGGUAGUGCUGCAUAAAAUAAUUCAAACAAUAACAUAUGGCUGGAAUUGAGAUGGCCCCAGGCUCAGUUUCUUGUUUCCCCUUGUAGAAGGCACUUUUAUCUUCUCAGCUGUAAAAUGAGAAAAGCAAUACUUAUUCCCUAUUAGAAAGUGCUUCAAGCUUCUUGUAUAUGAAUUGGAACAACAAGGCAUGCCUGUGGGCCAUCAUGGUUCUGGUGCUAAAUUUUCUAAAGGCUGAGCAUUUGUGUGGUUAUACUAACCUACAUUUUGUUUCAUGUUAAUAGAUUAAACUACAUACACACUGGGUUAAUUUCCCUAAUGUAAUUCCACAAGUGAGUAUAGAGACUGCUUUCUUACGGCUUGGAAAACUGAAAGGAAAAAAUAUAGCUGACUAAAAUCUCUACUUCUAUGCCAAUGCAGGGAAACUUUCAUAAAUAUUUCAAGGCUGAUAAGACUAGAGGAAUUGAUAGAGUGAUAGCUGGCUGUGUUGGGACACUAAAAAAACCUUCUGUGGUAUAAAGAUAUUUCUUGUGCCCCUCCAUCAUGUAUUAAUUUGUGCCCAUGCGUUUAAUUUUUCUUUCCAGCAUGUAAACCUCUUAGUGUAACUGUAAUCAUGCAGCAUAUGAAACUGGGGUCAAAAGCCUGGAGAUUUAUCAGAUGUCACAUUAUUCUAUCUAAAAAGAUACAAUAUUUGAGAUCAGGAAAAUGCCCUUAACACAGUCCUGGAAGUCAUGGACUACUGCAGUCUAACCAGCAUACCUGGAAAACACAUUAAUAAAAUGAAGGGUGCGAGUAGUGCAACUGCAGUUAUGGGAUUAUGUCUAUGCUAGAAGCUAAGAAUAUGCUCAGAAGUUUUCUGGGCUGAGAUACAGUUCCCUGCUACCUGUAGGACUGAGUGUUUUCGUUACUGUCUUCAUCCAUGAAGCUUCUGUCCUGCUUGCUUUCCUGUGUUUACAUAGUUUGUCCAAUUUUAUUGGAGAGAUGCUGGGAUUUGUCAGAGCCCAAGGUAAAAAGGUUCAGGACUUCUAAGUAUUGACUUUUGAGGCAGUGUAAAUUUUUAAAAUAAUCUCAGAUGGCUUCUAAUCUAUAGUAGUUCAUUAAUGAGUGGAAUUUUUGCAUGUCUUGAUGAAUCUUUAGGGACACAGUCUUGCCUCUAUUGCCCCUGCCUUGCCUCUUGUGAAGUAAACUGAUCACCAUGCUCCAUUUAUUUUUAAUUGAUAGCAACUCUGCAACAACUAUUAAGAUGACUGGUAACAUGUUAAAUGAGGUGCUGAGCAAACAGUGUAUGACCCUGUAUAUCGAGUCUGCAUGGCCAGGUUUUGGUAGUGGAGAGGCUACAGGGUGGCUCUGUGAGACACUGCCAGAAGCUUCCUUCACAUCCAGCAGAGUCAAUGCCAGGUGGCUCCAAGAUGAACAUGCUCCUGACUAAGGCUGAGCCAAUCAGGAAUUAUAGUAACAUCUCUGUGAUAAUGUAUUUGAGAAGAAAAAAUUGUUGAGCAGAUGUAUGCAGCCAGAGAAGUGUGGGGUGAAAAUACAUGGCAGAAACGACUCUGCAGGACACCAAGUGGAGCAGAGGGAGGAAGUGCUCCAGGUGCCAGAGCCAAGAUUGCCCUGCAGCCCAUUGUGAAGAAUAUGGUGAGGCAGCUGUCACCCUGCAGCCCACAGAGGACCACAGGGCUAUAGGGAUCCACCUGCAGCCUGUGGCAGAAACCCACACUAGAGCAGGUGGAUGCCUGAGAGGAGGCUGUGAACUUGUGGGAGGCCUGUGCUGGGACAGGCUCUUGGCAAGGAUCUGCAGACACAUAGAGAGAGGAGCCCAUGCUGGAGCAGGUUUUCUGGUAGGACUUGAGUCCCUGUGGGGACCCACACUGUAGCAGGAUGUGCCUGAAGGACUAUAUUCCGUGGAAGAGUGACCCAUGUUGCAGCAGUUCAUGGAGAACUGUUGCCCAUGGGUUGGACUUACGUUGAAGAAGUUUGUGGGGGAUUGUCUCCUAUGAGAGGGACCCCACAUUGCUGUAGGGGAGGGACUUCUCUCCCUGGUUGGCAGCAGAAACAACGAGUGACGAACUCACCAUAACCCCCACUCCCCAUCUCCCUGCACUGCUCUGGGGGAGAGGAGGUAGACCUCGGGAAGGAAGGGAAAGAGGGGUGGGGAGAAGGUGUUCUAAAGAUUUAUUUUACUUCUUAUCAUCCUGCUCUGAUUUUGUUAGUAAUAAGUUCAAUUAAUAUCCCCAAUUAGAAUCUCUUUUACCCAAGACGAUAUUUGGUGAGUGAUCUCUCCCGGUCCUUAUCUCAAUCCAUGAACCCUUCCUUUGAUAUAUUUUCUCUCCCUGUCCAGAUGCAAAGGGAAGUAAUAGAAGGGCCUGGUGUCCAGCCAGGAUCAACCCACUACAGACUUGAGAACUUAUAAUUUUUAUUUGUAAACAUCUGGGGAGACUAGAAUAUCUGGCUCCAAGAACCUUAAGAGACAUGGGACUGGCAUGCUGGAGCUCUGACAUCACUUGCCAGUUAGAUUCAGUGAGAUGAACAAUGCUAAAAGCUCUUUGGUGUAAUGAAGAUAAGGCUGCUGCCAGGAUGGUUCUGUAAGAGGACUGAAGCACUCUUUGGUCCAUGUUUUCUUACUUUUGGUCUAAUCUCCAAGGAUUCUUUAUUCCCCUGGCUUUCCAGAAAAGAGCUAGAAAAUCAAAAAACUAUCUUGCUGUUGGUUGUCUGGCAUGUUUCCAUAGGUUUAAGUAUCAAGCAGGACACAUAGACUCCACAUAGGUUUAAAUUUUCUUCUCCCUUCAUUUGUAUUGCACAAGUAGGUCAUUGCUUUAUCCAACUAUGAUAGCUCUGUCCAGUCUUUAAAUAACUCAAAAAGAACUAUAUGGACUCUGCUGUUGCUGAUUAUGGUUCCUAUCCAUGCAUCUCCUCCUUGUAACAUAAUUUGACGUUCAAGAAAGAAAAACCUUUUGGCUUUGCUGAUUUUUGAGCAGAAAGUGAUUAGCAAUGAGUUUUCUUAACUUUCUUUGCGUCCAUUCAGACAACAACCAAUGACAUUAACUUGAAAUUGUUGUCAUACCUCAUACUGCCUGAUGGCUCUCAUCAUCCCUACACACAUCAAAUCCCUUCUGCUCUCACUGGGGCCACUUUCUCUGAUUGCUUUCGACCUCAGCUUUUUUUUCAGUCCAGGACUGCUUGUCCUCCUCCAGCUAUAUCCUUACAGUUAAUGAGUAUUCUCAUUCAUUCAGUCUGUCUCCUUGAAAGUAUUUUUAGAUUGUGAUCAUCUCCCUUGAGCUGGCUAUUUCUAAGAUAAAUGCUAUUUCAUGUCAUCUUUUCUCUUAUGUUCCCUAUGCCUUAUUACUUUUACGUUUUAACUCCAUUCCCUCUGAGGAUAUCUAAUGAAGACCUUUUGGCUUGCAUGCCUUCAGGGCUGCCCAGUAGUGCAGUAUAGACAGGAACACUGUCCACAACUUACUUUCUAUGAGAUCCUUACUAUACAUAAGAACAGAUUGCUGGUUUACUUCAGAGUUGCAUCCCCAUUGCAAAAACUUCUGAGACUUUAGAGGUGACACCAUUUUUUUCAGAUAGUCACACUUAAAAUAGACAAGCCACUAAGCAAAUGUCUGUGGUUUCUGUGCAAGGUCUUUAGCAACAGGGAGCUUUUACUUCAGCCUCUAGCAUUAUCAGAGAAGAAAUCUGGUGGUCAUCUGAUUU